AAUCAACGCUGGCGGCGUGCCUCAGACAUGCAAGUCGAACGCGAAAGUCCCCUUCGGGGGGACAAGUAGAGUGGCGCACGGGUGAGUAACACGUAGGUAAUCUACCUUUGGAUGGGGAAUAACAACCGGAAACGGUUGCUAAUACCGCAUAAUGCAGCGGCACCUAAUGGUGACAGUUGUUAAAGCGGGGGGAUCGAAAGACCUCGCGUCUGAAGAGGAGCCUGCGGCGGAUUAGCUAGUGGUAAGGUAAUGGCUUACCAAGGCUACGAUCCGUAACCGGCCUGAGAGGGGCGGUCGGUCACACUGACACUGACAUACGGGUCAGACUCCUACGGGAGGCAGCAGUCGGGAAUUUUGGGCAAUGGGCGAAAGCCUGACCCAGCAACGCCGCGUGAAGGAUGAAAUCCCUCGGGAUGUAAACUUCG
rnacentral:rRNA from 1 species